AGCUGCUAAAAGUCGGAGCUAGCUAUUCGAGAGAGAUCCUCGAAAGAAGUUGGUGGAGCGUAGNACGGUAAAUUUUAUGUGUUUAAAUUUUCUAAAUGAAGGUAAUGGAUUGGAUAUUGAUUCUUCUCGAAUGAUAGAAAUCCACUGGAAUUUGUAUGCUUAAAAAGACGGAACAGAUGGAAAUCGCGUCAAUAUCGAUAAAAAAUAAUUAAUAAUCGAAUUUUGAAAAUAAGACAAUAUACAAUAGUAUGACUGAGGCGGCAGUGUCCUCAAAGGGCCGCAGCAGAUGGCACGCAGUUCUGUUAUAUUUGACACAUAUUUAAAUUAUUUUGCUUGUAGAUAAGCUUGCAUCCCUCUCGAAUAGCGAACGAUCCGUUACAUUUAUUAAAUUAUUUACCUUUUGUAAACUACCAAGUACUCGGCCAUAUUUGAAUCUUUUAGUUACAUUUUUGUAAUGAUAUAAAUAAUAAAUAGUUAUACAGUUAUAAUAUUAUGUUAUGUGAGCAUAACAUUACAAAAUACAAUUUUAAAAUAAAAAAAAAAAAGAUAAAAGACAAAAUUAUAAUAAUAUCGGUGUAUAAAAUAGAUAUUUCAAUUGUAAAUAUUUAAA